rnacentral:rRNA from 1 species
AGAGUUUGUCCUGGCUCAGAUUGACGCUGGCGGUAUGCUUUACACAUGCAAGUCGAACGGGCUUGGGGGCUUGCUCCCAGGUUAGUGGCGAACGGGUGAGUAAUAUAUCGGAACAUAUCCGGAAGUGGGGGAUAACGUAGCGAAAGUUACGCUAAUACCGCACAUGCCCUGAGGGGGAAAGGGGGGGAUCGCAAGACCUCUCGCUUUCGGAGUGGCCGAUACCGGAUUAGCUAGAUGGUGAGGUAAAGGCUCACCAUGGCGACGAUCCGUAGCGGGUCUGAGAGGACGACCCGCCACACUGGAACUGAGACACGGUCCAGACUCCUACGGGAGGCAGCAGUGGGGAAUUUUGGACAAUGGGCGCAAGCCUGAUCCAGCCAUACCGCGUGAGUGAAGAAGGCCUUCGGGUUGUAAAGCUCUUUCAGCCGGAAAGAAAUUGCUUCUAUUAAUACUAGGAGUAGAUGACGGUACCGUAAGAAGAAGCACCGGCUAACUACGUGCCAGCAGCCGCGUUAAUACGUAGGAAGCGAGUGUUAAUCGGAAUUACUGGAGCGCUACAAUGCGUGCGCAGGUCGGUUUGGUAAGCCAGAUGUUGAAAUCCCGUUUUAUCUGACAACUGCAUUUGUGACUGCCAGACUUAAGUGUAGCA